AAACUAACCAGGAUAGCCUAGUAACGGCGAGUGAAGCGGCUAUAGCCCAACUUGAAAAUCUCCCUCUGGAGAAUUGUAGUCUAUAGAAGUGCCCUCUGUACCGGGCGGAGCUCAAGUCCACUGGAAAGUGGCGUCAGAGAGGGUGAGAACCCCGUCGGCUCCUGCUUCGGUGCUCCACGAGGUACUUUCCACGAGUCGGGUUGUUUGGGAAUGCAGCCCUAAUUUGGUGGUAAAUCCCAUCUAAGGCUAAAUACUGGCGAGAGACCGAUAGCGAACAAGUACCGUGAGGGAAAGAUGAAAAGAACUUUGAAAAGAGAGUCAAAAAGUGCUUGAAAUUGUUGAGGGGGAAGCGGUUGGAUGGCGUGUGUGCGCCCAGGCUCAAGCGGUUCUAACGAAUCGUUGAAUGUGCUGGGUGCUGGUCAGCUCGGGUUGCUUUGGCGGGAUAACAGUCGGGAACGUAGGUAGCCUGGCCGAUGCCGCCGAAGCGACCAAGGUGUGAUGGGCGCUCCGUCCUUCGGGAACUGCGUCCAAAAGGAGUUGGCAGAAGCCUUUCAACCGGCCCGUCUUGAAACACGGACCAAGGAGUCUAACAUGUAUGCGAGUUGGCGGGUGGCAAACCCGUAACCGCAAGUAACCUGACUGGUGGGAUGGCGUAAGCCUGCACCAUCGACCGACCAUGAGCUUCUGCGAAAGGUUUGAGUGCGAGCAUACCUGUUGGGACCCGAAAGAUGGUGAACUAUGCCUGAGCAGGGUGAAGCCAGAGGAAACUCUGGUGGAGGCUCGUAGAUGUGCUGACGUGCAAAUCGCUU
rnacentral:rRNA from 1 species